rnacentral:lncRNA from 1 species
CUCUCGAGCAAAAGGUAUUGUCCGUUUUGGCACUGACACUUUAACUGAACAGAUCCGUCCUCGACAUCCAGGCCUCAAGGUUUUGUCCCUCUGGGCCUUCGGCCCAAAAGGCGCCUCUUGAUUCGGAGAAGAAUCUCCAAGCCUCAUAAGACGAGAUGUCCUUGACUCACUAUCCAAUAUGGGACUAAAGUCCCUCCCCCCGC